UCAGCCUGGGUAGUCGGGUUUUACUCCCUUGUAAACAUCAAAAGGGGAGGGACUCCUGGAAACCUGGUAGCGUCCCUGUCUGAAAAGGAAGUGGACUAUAAGGUAAUGUGAGGCCACCACGUUUUUUUUUUUUUUCCCUUCUGGGCCGUCUUGCAUAGUUCUGAUUGCAUCCUCUGCUUAUGAAACUGGGGGCCAAGCCGUGAUGGAGAGAGUUCCAGAACUUGGCCUGCACCGAGCAUGAUGCUCUUGGCAUCCAAAAUUUUCAACAUGAAAAUGGAAAACUUAGAUAGUAAUUUGGUGCAUUGGUGGAAGGACCCAAUAAGAAGAAAUUAUACAGACAGUUCAAAGUGGGUAUAGCAACAAUAAAAACUCUUAUGGAAAACAUCAUCUGUCAGACAUCAUGCCAAGCAGUUAAUUCUGGCUAUUUAACUUAAUAUGGAAAGUAGCUCGUUGAUUGGGAGUUAUCUUCAUUUUACACAUGAAGUCUUGAGGCUCCCAAAGAACUUACCCCAGAGAAAGGAGAGCUUCUGGUAAGAAGAAAGAGCUGGGAUUUAACCCAGGUCUGUCUCUGCCAUGGCUCACAGUUAACCUCUCCAAUAUACCAAUAUUUUCCUGCAGAGCAUACCUACUUAUCUCAGUGCUCACUGUGCAACUGACACAUGAAAUGUGGGGGUCUUUUUUUUUUUUUUUUAAUUUAGACUUUUUGGCAUCACGGAACUGAGAGCGUAGUCAACAGAAAUAGUAGAUAAAGCAAAUUAGCAAAACUCAGGUCCUAUAUUUGCUCCUAGAGCUGUGUCUCUUGGUUUUCUUUCCCUGAUCUAUACUGUAAUAUGUAAGGAUAAGUGCUUUGGAAAAAGAGAGAGACUUCACACAACCGUCAAUUGAAAGCCCUGGUGUCUUGAAUAGAGCUAAGUCAAGUCCUUCUGCCUGCAGUUUCCAUGACUUACGGAAAGGAUGCAAGGGAGAACAGGAAAAGGAUGAACUAGAUCCUUCUAAUGGCCAAUAAUGACAAGUUAUAAUAAAGUUCAAAAGGAAAGAGAUUCUUUGGACCACGAAAUAACUUUUCUUCAUUCAGAAUUGUUUCAAGCUAAAUUUAUUCUCAAACAGCUUGAAAAGGCGAACGUCAAGCUUCAGUCAAAGCUGUUAGCUAGCAGAACAAUAAAUGAGAAUUUGUCCUUGCAACUGGCAUUCCUAAAACCAAAUCUCCAGUCCUCUGAGAAAAACAUCACAGUUCUUGAAGAUGAAAAGAGAAAGCUAACUCUGAUGAUUGAAAGUCUUAAGGAAGAAAGAGAACAACUCCUUUCCCAAAAAGAUUUGCUGAUAAAAGCCUUGACAACUCAGAAAGGAUGCAUAAACUUCGUCUGCAAUUAAUGGGGCUGGGCUUUCCUUCUGUGUUCUGGACUGUUGGCCUUUUCCUCAGUUGUAGUUGGUUUCCAAUAAACAAUAUUUUAUUGAUAUGUUCUACUGAUAUACAAGAAGUAGUGGCAUGCUAGACUUUGCCAAGGGUUAUAAGUUGUGUAAGAUGAUGACAAAUCAAUUCAAACUGUGAUGUUACAACAUUAAGACUAAUGUGAUAAUUUUCUAUAUCUGAAUAUAACAAUGGAGAAAUUAAUUUGUAAAAGCAAUCAUUUGCACCAUUAUCUUCCUAUCUCACAGAGAUGAGACAGUAUAGCAGGGGUGACUGUGUCCUGGUUUAAACUGAUACAAAACUGCAGAAUCACUUUUUUUUUUUUUUGAAGAAUUCCAAUGCAUUUAAUACUUUUGAUGGAGAAGAAUUCACACUCCCAUUGCUAACCUUUAAAUAAAAAUGAUGGAGAUGGGCAGAAUUGGAAGUGGUAGCCAAAUGAAUAAGUGUUUAGUUAAUUACUUACAUGAUAUAAUUUCAAAGGCCAUGAAGUCUUUUAUAUACCCUAAAAAUUGCCACUGCUCUUUAAUGUCUGAAAGUUUCAUAUUUUCCCAACAGAAGGCUCUCUCUCUUAAAAUGCAGACCAAUUACCCUGUGAGGAAUUACACUAAAUGUCAUCUGUUACUUAUAUUUUUUGGAAGUGAAGUGAGUUUUAGAUUCUUCCUCAGAAGUAGGUUUUGAUAGAGAACAGGAGGAUAUUGGAUACUGUGGAAUUAAGGAGAGAAGAACAAAGUCUAAGGUUGUCCACAACACGUGCCUGUUUUCCAAUAUUGCCCACAAUUAGCAUGGCAAGAAAAAUAGAAUCUGGUUUAUUAAAAAAUUGAUUUACAAAUACCUAUUCCAUGACAUUUUAUUUUUAAGUAACUUAAAUCUUAUAGAAAAGUUAUAACAUAGUACAAGACAUUCCUUCUAUUCUACCCAGUUUCAUUUAGCUCUCGUCUGCUCUAUUAUCAACUCACCCCAUCUGUUCAUUCAUAUACCUAUGUUUUCCUUAGAUCUGAGUUUCCAUCUGGUAUAACUUCUUUUAUCCCAAAGACCUUCCUUUAGUAUUUCUUGUACAGCAGAUGUGCUGCUGGCAAAUCCUUUCAAUUAUAAUUUACUUGAAAUUAUUUCAUUAAUCUAAACAUAUUUAUAAUAGCUGCUUUAACAUCUUUGCUAAAUCCAUAUCUGGGUCAUCUUAGUGUCAGCUUCUAUUGACUACUUUUCCUCUUGACUUUGGAUCACAUUGUCCAAUAGUUUUUUAUGGUUUAUUGGACACUGUGUGGAUGAUAUAGCAAGUAUAUUUCUGUUCUUUCUCAGGAAAGUGUUUUUGUUCUAGUGAGCAGUUAAUAUGGUGGAACUCAAAGUCCUACAGUGGGUAGCAGCUAAAACCUCUGCUAAGUUUUUUCAGUCUUCUAACUUGGCUUUCUGUAGAUGUGUAGUUCAGGGGGUCAGCUGUGGCUCUCUUCCUUCUGUGAUGGCCCCCUAGAAUCCCUUUCCUCUGUCCUGAUUCCUCAAGCCAAUAUGACUAUAACUUUCUACUUGAGUUUUAGCUACCUCUCACCUGGAGAACUGGGAAGUGCCUUCAGGCAAAAAAUCAUAUAGACAUAAAUCUCAUCUAGUGGAGUUCCUGUUUUUCAAGUCAUCUUCCUUCCAGUUUCUGUCUGCUUAUGGUUAUCCUCUAGUACCUUCCAACAGUUGUUUUUAUUCUGUUCUGAAAUCAUAAUUGUUAUCUGUAGAAAAGUUAGUCUGACACAGCUACUCUGCUGUUACGAGAAGCAGAAACUACACACAUUUUGAAAAAACACAUUAAAAAUAAAACAUUUAUUCUAUAAAUAUUUACAAGUAAAUUAAUUCAAAAAGUAUUUACAAGGAAUUUACUUUGUGCUAGUUAUAUGCUACUGCUAGAUGCUAGAAAUCCUUUUGGAUGUAAGAAUUUUAUUAAAUUGCAGUCAACUUCAGUGUGCUUGGUUUUUCAUACCUCUAAAUAAAAAUGUUAUCCAUUGGCACUUGCAACCCCUUCCAUAAAAUGAAUAUAAUAAACAUA